UUUGGGUUUGUUUGCUUUCAGUAAGGGGAGCAAACCCAGGGUCCAGUGCUUGCACACCUCCAGCCCGUCAGCACAUUCUAUCACCUUUUCCAUUCCUAUACAUCCAGGAGCAGAGGCCCACUCACACCUCCUAAGUUGCUAAGAGAGGAUGAGACCAGGGGAUCACCAGGAGUUCAAGGCCAGCCCGGGCUACAGUGAAUUCAAGACCCGCCUGAAGUACAGCAUGACCCAUCUCAAAAAACAAAAAGCGGUUAAGAGAUCAUGAUGACGGAGUAGAAGCUAGUGGCAGGUCACAGCGUCUUAGGCUCCUGCCACCUGGACAUCUGGAGAAAUUGGGUGACCAAGCACAAGAGUGGGGGCGUGCUGGUGGGCUUAUCACUACUAGGUAGUGGGACGCUGGGCCCACCGACUCGCAGGGCAUCCCGCAGUGCCCAUGCACUCUCAUUUGUAAAGCUAGUUUCCUGGAGGCGCUGCAGAUGGGUUCCAGUCUUUACUGUUUCAAACAGCGUUCCUCAAAGGCAUCGUGCACUUUCACUCCUAUUCGGGUUCCCUUAAUGCGAUUUCAGAAGUGCAAGUGUUAGGGCCAGGGCCACUGUCAUUUAAGAUUCUGAUCACAUGUCCAACCUGCUCGACCCAAGAGGCCCCGGAGGGGAGGUUCUGUCUUCCGGACAGACGGCAGCAGGGGGCCAGGCCGUGGGCCUGCUGCCCCAGCGGGCGGUAUGGGGCAGUGCCACUCGCAGGCCGCUCUUGUUCACGUCCACUUCUGUUCCACCGGCCGAGCGCGGCGCUGCCUCCUGGGAAUCUCCUGGGCCCGGGCCCAGCCCUGACACCCGGCUGCAGCCGUCCCCCGCCUUCUGCACUCUCCCGCCUCCCCCGGAACUCUCGGGUUCCUGGAACCCGGCUAGGUGACCUCACGCCGCCGGUGACUUCACAUCCGGACCUUCUGGGAAUUCUCGGCCUCAGUUUUUCGUAAGAAAACUAACAGUGGAGUGGAGUGGAGUGGGGUGGAGUGGGGUGGAGGAGAGGGGCCGAGCAGUAGGCAAGGUGGGGGUGAAGAGGGGAGGGAAGGGGAGGGGCAGAUCCCGGGGGAGGGGAGGGUUUGAUUGUGCAGCUUCCUUGCUUGCUCUUAGGGGUUCGGGAUGCGGGGGCGGGGGAGGGGACACAUGCUGGACUUAGGGACCCACCCUCACCCGAAUUCCAGAGGUGACCAGGGAACUGGGUGGUCAGCUGCCAGGGGGAAAGGGUACCACUGGGCUACAACUGGGGUGAGAAACCAAUGUGCUAAAUCUGAAAAGUAGGAGGCACAGUGGGUGGUGGUACACUUCGGUGGUGGUACACUUCGAAACAAGAGGCACGCCCUUCCCUUCCUUCCCUUCCUACGGCUGUAAAGGCCACAUCGGCUUUAAAUUCAGGGCCACCCUGCCAGAUCAUUGGGUUUAAAUUGAGGAGGUCAUCAUGCCAGAGGCAGUGGACUGUUGAUUUCAGUGAGAGCAUGGAUCGGAAGCCCCUCAGAUCAGAGGUGUCUGACCCUCUGGGUCCCGGAAGCCUGAGUUACAUCAGCAGGCCUUUGGGUUUCCACUGGCCAUGUUCCCUUCACCUUCUUUCCCCCUUAGCCCUUCUCCCUGUUCCUGCCACCCUCCUGUGAUCUUCAAUAAACGUAGCUACUCAGACAUA